GAAGAUAGAGGCGCGGAUUUUAUCAGUACUUACGGACAUGAAGCCCUGGCAGGCUGUCCAUGAAGAAAGGAAAAUCCGCCGAAGUGCUCUGAACAGCCAGAGGUCAGGGUGCUGGGACGACGCAGAAUAUGCGGCGUACUGUCACGGGUGUGGAGCGCUAUCUA
rnacentral:ncRNA from 1 species